UCCUCCCUCUUUUUUCGUGCUUAACACAUGCAAGUCGAACGGAAAGGCCCUGCUUUUGUGGGGUGCUCGAGUGGCGAACGGGUGAGUAACACGUGAGUAACCUGCCCUUGACUUUGGGAUAACUUCAGGAAACUGGGGCUAAUACCGGAUAGGAGCUCCUGCUGCAUGGUGGGGGUUGGAAAGUUUCGGCGGUUGGGGAUGGACUCGCGGCUUAUCAGCUUGUUGGUGGGGUAGUGGCUUACCAAGGCUUUGACGGGUAGCCGGCCUGAGAGGGUGACCGGCCACAUUGGGACUGAGAUACGGCCCAGACUCCUACGGGAGGCAGCAGUGGGGAAUAUUGCACAAUGGGCGGAAGCCUGAUGCAGCAACGCCGCGUGCGGGAUGACGGCCUUCGGGUUGUAAACCGCUUUCGCCUGUGACGAAGCGUGAGUGACGGUAAUGGGUAAAGAAGCACCGGCUAACUACGUG
rnacentral:rRNA from 1 species